rnacentral:rRNA from 1 species
UACGUAGGGCGCAAGCGUUGUCCGUAAUUAUUGGGCGUAAAGAGCUCGUAGGCGGUCUGUCGCGUCUGCCGUGAAAACCCGAGGCUUAACCUCGUGGCUUGCGGUGGAUACGGGCAGACUAGAGGUAGGUAGGGGAGAAUGGAAUUCCCGGUGUAGCGGUGAAAUGCGCAGAUAUCGGGAGGAACACCGGUGGCGAAGGCGGUUCUCUGGGCCUUACCUGACGCUGAGGAGCGAAAGCGUGGGGAGCGAACAGG